AGCUCGGGCAGGAGCCUCCCGCCCGCUGCUGCCGCGGCCCUGGCGGGCCGGAGGCACCGAAGCGACGCCCUGACCAUCCCCAGGGAGAGUUCUCUGGCCGCGCUGGCUCGAUCAGUGAUCUCAUGGAGAAACCCCUGAACGUGCAAAACCUCCAUGUGCUCGGAGGCUGGCAGAGCUGAGCACAGCCACGGGUGAAAACAGCACCCCAGGAGAAAAGCAUUGAAGGAUUCGACAGAAAAAGGAAGAGGUACCGGCAGCCCCUGACAUCGACGCACCUCUGUGCUUGUAAGAAAUCCUGAUUUUGUUCCUCAAAACUCAGCGCCUAAACUUUGCCUUGGAGCUGCUCAUCUUCAUCACACAGUACAGGAACAGAAAAAAACGCUCUGAAACAGAUACUAAAGAACCUUCUUGCAACAUUCUGGUGUGAAGCUUCUGUGAUUAUCUUUCUGAUUUUGAAGAAGGCAAGGAAGUAAGUCUAUAGUUGAAACUGGGUACAGGAAUCCUGAACUAUGAAGAAAACCCAGUUUUGUCCAUGUACCAGAGGUGAAACAAUAACAGUUCUGCUGAAAGAGUUAAAAAAAAAUACCCUUGCUGCUCUCAA